AGAUAAUUAAAAAUAAAUAAAAACAUGAGUAUGGGAAAAAGGGAUUAGUCGAUAGACGUUAUUAGAACAACUGAGUAGCCAUCUGGAGAAACACAUGGAUCAAUACCCUACACCAAUAUUACCAAUAGGUCAAAGAUUACAGUGUAAAAAAUAAAACCAUAAAGGUACUCAUAGAAACUGCCAUUUUUAACCUUGUUAUUUUGAAGAAUUUUAGACCUUCAGAAAAGCUGCAAAAAUAGUACAAAGUUCCUGCAUAUCCUUUACCCAGCUUCUCCAUAUGUUAACAUCUUGCGUAGCCACAGUAUAACUAUCAACACCAAGAAAUUAGCAUUGAUACAAUACUAUUAACUAAUCUACAGAUCUUAUUUGAAUUUUGCCAGUUUUCCCACUAAUGCCCUUUUUCUGAUUCAGGAUCCAAUCCAGGAUUUCACAUUGCAUUUAUUUGUCAUGUCUCCUUAGACUUUUCUGAUCUGAGACAGUUCCUCAGUCUUUUUUCCCCCUUUCAUGAUCUUGACACAUUUCAAGGGUCCCAGUGAGUUAUUUUGCAGAAUGUCCCCCAGUUUGGAUUUGUCCAAUGUUUUCUCAUUCUAGAUUGAGGUUAUGCAUUUUUGGCAAGAAUACCACAGAAGUAAAUAAUUUGGAGUGGGGAAGACAUUUCUUUCUUUCUUUCUUUCUUUUUUUUUUGAGGAAGAUUAGCCCUGAGCUAACGACUGCCAAUUCUCCUCUUUUUUGCUGAGGAAGACUGGCCCUGAGCUAACAUCUGUGCCCAUCUUCCUCUACUUUAUAUGUGGGACGCCUACCACAGCAUGGUGUGCCAAGCGGUGCCAUGUCCACACCUGGGAUCCGAACCAGCAAACCCUGGGCCGCAGAGAAGCGGAACGUGUACACUUAACUGCUGCUCCACCAGGCCGGCCCCUGGGAAGACAUUUCUAACUCCUGGUGCCAGCACAGUGCCUGGCAUUGUAGAAUGAAAGAGGCCUCAUUUACCAAGUGAUGAAAAUGAGGCCCAAGGAGCAAGCCAUUCGCUUCAGGACAUCCUGCAGGUAGGGAGAGCUGGGGCUGGAACCCAAGUCUCCUGGCUGUCAGGCCAAGACAGUUGACUCAAUUCAACAAGUGUUUAGUGAGGACCUUCUUCCUGCCAGACUCUGGGCUUGGCAUGUGAUAUGGAGGGAAAUAAGGAAGAUGUGGCUUCUUGCCAACCACACUAUCUGGAGAAGGACUUUUUCCUCCCCGCUGCUUGUUCACCCCAGUCAAUCAGUGAUUCUCUAAUAAAUAGAGGGUUGCAGAGUGAGGAUUUGGGACCAGGAGGCCUCCCAGGCUCCCAAUCCCAGAAGACUCUGAUCUGCCUAUGUCUUGUCCUACCCACACAGGGCUCUGGCAUGUGGCUCCCCCACCACCCUGCUUCCCAGGGGCCCUGAGGCCUGGGCCUGUCCUGCUGCAGUGACAGGAGCUGGCUCCCUCGCGAAAGUGGCAGCAAGUGAUCAGGGUAUCACCAGGCCAAACAGGGCUGUCCUCACAGGAACAGUGGGCACACGGUCCUGCCCAAACCCAUCCCCCGACACGAUGCCUAGGAAUUCAGCAUUAGAAGCCAUUUGUCUGCUGCGCUGGGCUCUCUUUUAAAACGCUCCUCACUGAGACCGUAGUUCACCCUCAUUCAUUAUUCAUUUGCCUGCCUUGUUUCUGGCACUGUGCUUGGUAUUUGUGCAAGGAGAAUUACACAGGUUAAAAAGAUACCACUUUAUGUAUGUAUAUUAUGUUUUAUACAAAGAAACUUUAAAAAGAGAUAUUUUAUAUGUGAAAAAAAAGCAAAGUUGAUUAGCCAAUAAAAGAAGACCCCAUCAGGGCAUUUCUCUGAGCCAGGGUUUCCCCAAAUGUAAAAUCAAGACAAUACCUACCUUGGAGGAUGGUCAUGAGGUUUGACUGAUCACGGGAAGUGUUUACAACAUUCCUGAGAGCCCUGUCCUGAUAGCAUAAAAACUGGAAACAACCUAAAGGCUGGUGCUUGAGGGACAAGUUACAUAAACCAUGGUAAGACUUCUGGUUAAACAUGGAAGAUUGGCCGCGAGCAUUUGUCUUCUCUUCCUUCCAAAACUUAACUAAGUAACAGGAGAGGAGUCAAAGAGGCGUAGAUCCACAAGGACUGAGAGACCCAAGAGAAGACAGCAGCGGACAAAAGAUUUCAACAAGGCUUUGAUUCCAACGCAGCUGGACAGCCGAAGGGUGGCCGAAGGGUGGUGACAGGACAGGCAGGGCAGAGGGAGUCAGGACCUGAUGCCUGGAGAUCCUGCAGGUCCCCAGACCCCGGGUCAGAGCCUGGCUGAACACAGGGAUGCCUGAGAGUCUGUU
ensembl:lncRNA